rnacentral:lncRNA from 1 species
AUCAGUAUGUUGGUCACAUCGAUGAAAAGCUGAACAUCACAGCAAGUAUAUAACUCUUUGCUCCUAAAAUUCAACUUCUCACCUGUAGAAUCUGACUCUCAGACUAGUCACAAUUUUAUUCUUUUCCAGUUCAGGUUUUCUUAGCGGUGACAUUUAGGAUGGGAAGGCCAAGGGUGGGAAUGUGAACCUCAACCCUCCAGUUUAUGCCUGCAGAACCCCCCACCCCCAGAUAAUAACUUUUAUGUAUUGAUGAUUCUUAAAUUCUUUGGGCCAACAUUUGUAGCCACUAAAAAGUUUAAAGUGUGUGGGCACUGGCUGCUCCCUUAAAAUUUUACUAUCAACAUACAAUGGAAGAAAGUCUUAGGCUAAAAUUUGCAGCACACACACAUAGAUCCUUAGCAGACAAACAGCAGUAUCUAAGCAGUUUAUAUGAUUGCCCAAGUAGUAAUUGGAGUUACUACUCAGGGUGAAUGUCAUGCUUAGAAACACCAGCAGUGGAGGAAUAAAAGUAGAAGAGAAUAAAAGUCUGUGCAGACUUCCAGUCAUUGCUCAGCCAGCCCAGUGAGCCUCUGGGGAUUUUGAUCACUACAAGUUGAGUACUUCUAAUCUAAAAAUCCAAAAAUCUAAAAUGCUUAAAAAAAACUUGGGGCACCUGCAC